rnacentral:rRNA from 1 species
GAACGCUGGCGGCGUGCUUAACACAUGCAAGUCGAACGUGAUUUUUAAGGAAAGCCCUUCGGGGUGGGAAUUAAAAUGAAAGUGGCGAACGGGUGAGUAACACGUGAGCAACCUGCCUUACACAGGGGGAUAGCCGUUGGAAACGACGAUUAAUACCGCAUGAGACCACAGAAUCGCAUGAUAUAGGGGUCAAAGAUUUAUCGGUGUAAGAAGGGCUCGCGUCUGAUUAGCUAGUUGGAAGGGUAAAGGCCUACCAAGGCGACGAUCAGUAGCCGGUCUGAGAGGAUGAACGGCCACAUUGGAACUGAGACACGGUCCAAACUCCUACGGGAGGCAGCAGUGGGGAAUAUUGCACAAUGGGGGGAACCCUGAUGCAGCGACGCCGCGUGAGCGAAGAAGGUUUUCGAAUCGUAAAGCUCUGUCCUAUGAGAAGAUAAUGACGGUAUCAUAGGAGGAAGCCCCGGCUAAAUACGUGCCAGCAGCCGCGGUAAUACGUAUGGGGCGAGCGUUGUCCGGAAUUAUUGGGCGUAAAGGGUACGUAGGCGGUUUUUUAAGUCAGGUGUGAAAGCGUGAGGCUUAACCUCAUUAAGCACUUGAAACUGGAAGACUUGAGUGAAGGAGAGGAAAGUGGAAUUCCUAGUGUAGCGGUGAAAUGCGUAGAUAUUAGGAGGAAUACCGGUGGCGAAGGCGACUUUCUGGACUUUUACUGACGCUCAGGUACGACAGCGUGGGGAGCAAACAGGAUUA